rnacentral:sRNA from 1 species
AGCUAGCUCCUCGGCGGGAUCUCCCGGCAGGAUGGGUAAAAAGAUAAAGAAGGAAGUAGAGCCUCCUCCUAAGGAUGUGAUGACGUUAAAAAAUUGUUAAGGGAGUUAGAUGUCAUGAAUUCUGUCAUUGCCCAGCUUGCUCCAGAAGAAGAAGUAGUUAUCCAUGAGUUUGCUAGUCUUUGUCUAGCAAACAUGUCUGCAGAGUACACCAGUAAAGUGCAAAUAUUUGAACAUGGGGGAUUAGAGCCACUCAUCAGACUACUGAGUAGCCCCGACCCGGAUGUAAAGAAGAAUUCUAUGGAAUGCAUUUACAACUUGGUGCAGGAAAUCUAACAUGUGGAAACUGCACAGUUACUAAUGAUUGAACCCUGGUGGUCUAAGCACAUUGGAUGAUACCAAUUGUACAAGGACACCACUAAGGGCCCACCUUACUCCAGGAUGACCUCAUCUUAACUAAUUACAUCUGCAAUGACCCUGUUUUCAAUCUCUUGAAGUCAGAAUAUCCAGUGAUUCAGUUGUUGGCUCUCAAAACCUUAGGUGUUAUUACAAAUGAUAAGGAGUCUCGAACAAUGCUAAGAGACAAUCAAGGAUUGGACCAUCUUAUUAAGAUCCUAGAAACUAAGGAAUUGAAUGACCUUCAUAUAGAAGCACUUGCAGUGAUAGCCAAUUGCCUUGAAGACAUGGAUACUGUGGUGCAGAUUCAGCAGACAGGGGGUCUUAAAAAGCUCCUGUCAUUUGCAGAAAACUCUACAAUUCCUGAUAUUCAGAAGAAUGCAGCAAAAGCCAUUACUAAAGCAGCUUAUGAUCCUGAAAAUAGAAAACUUUUUCACGAACAAGAGGUUGAAAAGUGCCUUGUAGCCCUUUUGGGUUCUGAAAAUGAUGGAACGAAAAUUGCUGCUUCCCAAGCUAUUUCAGCAAUGUGUGAGAAUUCAGGCAGCAAAGAUUUUUUCAAUAAUCAGGGGAUUCCACAGUUA